AGGCGACGAUGGGUAGCCGGCCUGAGAGGGUGGACGGCCACACUGGGACUGAGACACGGCCCAGACUCCUACGGGAGGCAGCAGUAGGGAAUAUUGCGCAAUGGGGGCAACCCUGACGCAGCGACGCCGCGUGAGUGAUGAAGGUCUUCGGAUCGUAAAACUCUGUCCUCAGGGAAGAAAAAUGUGACGGUACCUGAGGAGGAAGCCCCGGCUAA
rnacentral:rRNA from 1 species